rnacentral:rRNA from 1 species
AGAGUUUGAUCAUGGCUCAGGACGAACGCUGGCGGCAGGCUUAACACAUGCAAGUCGAACGCCCCGCAAGGGGAGUGGCAGACGGGUGAGUAACGCGUGGGAAUCUACCCAACUCUACGGAAUAACUCAGGGAAACUUGUGCUAAUACCGUAUACGUCCUCCGGGAGAAAGAUUUAUCGGAGUUGGAUGAGCCCGCGUCUGAUUAGCUAGUUGGUGGGGUAAAGGCCUACCAAGGCGACGAUCCGUAGCUGGUCUGAGAGGAUGAUCAGCCACACUGGGACUGAGACACGGCCCAGACUCCUACGGGAGGCAGCAGUGGGGAAUUUUGGACAAUGGGGGCAACCCUGAUCCAGCCAUGCCGCGUGAGUGAAGAAGGCCUUCGGGUUGUAAAGCUCUUUCAGUCGGGAAGAAACGGAGCGCUCUAACAUAGCGCUCUACUGACGGUACUGACAGAAGAAGCACCGGCUAACUACGUGCCAGCAGCCGCGGUAAU